UGGGGAAUAUUGCACAAUGGAGGGAACUCUGAUGCAGCGACGCCGCGUGAGUGAUGAAGGAAUUCGUUUCGUAAAACUCUGUUCUAUGGGAAGAAAAGGACUGUACCAUAGGAGAAAGCUCCGGCUAAAUACGUGCCAGCAGCCGCGGUAAUACGUAUGGAGCGAGCGUUGUCCGGAAUUAUUGGGCGUAAAGGGUGCGCAGGCGGCUUUACAAGUUGGAUGUGAAAUAUUGUGGCUCAACCACAAACGUGCAUCCAAAACUGCAAAGCUUGAGUUAAGGAGAGGUAAGUGGAAUUCCUGGUGUAGCGGUGGAAUGCGUAGAUAUCAGGAGGAAUACUGGUGGCGAAGGCGACUUACUGGACUUAAACUGACGCUCAGGCACGAAAGCGUGGGGAGCAAACAGG
rnacentral:rRNA from 1 species